rnacentral:ncRNA from 1 species
AAUCGGUCACAAAAAGCAUCGCUUUUUGAACGUUGGCUCUGCCAACGGGAGCGAAGCUGUGAACAAUCCUUACAAGGAUUGUGAAUAAUUUUUGAUAAA